rnacentral:lncRNA from 1 species
CUAAAGCACAGCCUCAGAUGAGAAGAGAGUUCCUUUUUGUGUGGCUGAAAACAGGGAGUCAAGGAAGAAGGAGAGGAAAAAGCAUAAAAUCUGUGUUCUCUUACUGUGGAGAGAAGAGAGGGACUAGGAUGUCUUUUCCAUCUGCAGAAUCCAUACAAGAUGUGACAAGAAAUUCCAGCCUACCAACAUGGGGCAAGAGAGAGAGAUGCUGAUUUCCAUUUCUGAAACAUGUAUAAUGUUCAGAGGCUUUACAAGGAUGAAUUUAGAGGAGGCAGGUCAAAAAAGUCCAAACUUCCUCCUCCAGCACUGCCCUGUGUGCCCUGCACACUCUCACUUCACCAGCCACGGCUGUGCAGCAUAUUGCAGAAUUUCCUAUCCAGCCCACCAGCCUCAUACAGCCAAAGAAGCUCUGCCAGCAACAUCUCACAGCAAAGACUUCACGGCAAGUAGCCCAUUACGAAUGCACUCACAGAGGCACGAAGAAUGGUCAUUAAAAAAGAUGUUCCCCAGCUCUCUGCUAAGUUCUUGUUAGAUGCAGAUAUGUAGCAAAGUUUAAAUAAAAAAAAAAAAGAAAAAAAAAAAAAAAGAACG